ensembl:lncRNA
AGUCAUAGUAGCUGAAGCAAUAUUGGUAUUAGCUGCACAAACGAUAUGCCUUAUGAAAAGUAUUGUGUUGAUUGAGGUUUGUAGAAAGAAUUAUAACAAUCCCGCAAUACAUUUUUUGAAACCAGCCGAAAUUGUAUGUUCUCGCCUAAUGCUAAUUUUUCCAGCCUAACUUAAUAAAAGUAGUCCAAUUGGGCGGGUAAAAUCACCCAAUCUGGCAACGCUGCCUGAACGACGCUCACUGUUCUGAAGGUUUGCAUAUGUUGAUAUUGUUGUCCCUUUAAUUGCAUAUAAGGGCAAUUAUAGUUCAUACUUCCAGGGAUUAAAUGUGCAUUUUAUCUGUUGUGUACUAAUUGAUUUUAUGUUAAUUGGGGUAUUGUAUUACUCAUUUCUUUGUUUGCCCUUUUACUACGUCAGUUCGGGCAUGUUGUGUAAUUGUUCGUAAUGAGACCUAUCUGCGCGGAGUGAUUUAGUCCACGGGUGAUACGGUCACUCGCGCAGUCAAUUAUCAGUCUCGCGCAGUCGGCCACGAGGGAAGGGUUCGUUGUAUCGUAACCAGCAGUUGGAAACCGCACGGUGCGGACGUAAAGCUAAAAUAUAGCGAAUUAGAAUAUUCGUGGUGUUUCGUGCUGUCGGCAGCACGGUGUAUCGGCAGACAGAGGUGCGUUUGCCGUCCGUUCGCCCGCUAGCGUUUCUCGUGGAGAAGAGCUAGCGGAGAGCUAAGCGAAGAGCUAUGCUAUCCAGGAGCACGUGCUCGCGGCCUAGUCGCCAGAGGGACCCAGGAAGAGGCUGGUCUCCCUCGAUCCAGACGAGGUUCGUGAGGCGGGUUCAAGCCCCCUACCAGGCAGCACCGCCGAUCUUCACCCCAACUACAAGGGAGGUGUCCCCCCUCUCCAACGCCCCCCUUUGUAUCCGGUAGUUUCAACUCACCCCUCUCCCCUUCCCCACUCAAAGUGCACCAACGACCCAGCGGCGCCGCACUACGAGCACGAGGACAUUCGUUAGGCCCACCGAGGGACCUCAGAUGCUGUAUAUGUACGCCGAUUUCUGAUGGCCAUGAUUUGAUUUAUUUUCCAAAGGAAAAUAAAGGAAAGAAAAUUCAACAGUUCCGCCUCCCUCUCCCUGAUGCUUGACCAUCGUUACACUGGUGCUGUGACCCGGAUCCCAGAUCAGCUUGAUGCAGAUCGCCGCGCCGAGGGAGCUGCGUGGAAAUCUAGGAACGCUGUCUGUACUGCAGUUUCGUUUAUGGUCAGAGCCGCCAGUCAUAUGUGCCGUCUCUGCCACAGCACCAGGUUGGACAUACGAGGCCCGCCGUGCGCCGAGGUGGCAGACAAUUUCGAGGCCAGCCUCAUGUCCAUGCAACGGCCUGUCAGGUCUGUAAUGAUAGCAGCCACAGCACUGAGUCACACUGCCGUUCUGACCGUCUCUGCUUCACAUGUUUCAAGCCUGGCCAUACAAGUCGGUUGUGCCCCAGUCAUUCCCCCGCCCGUGACAACGUACAGGGAAACUAGCUGGCCUGUGCUUUGAGGGAGGCCGUACAGACCAUGACAAAAACUCCCACGUUAAUGAUGCAACUGUGCUGUUUGACAAAGUGAGGAAUCUGGAUGGAUCAGAGACUGUUGUCAUUCAGAAUACUCAAAAACUCAGGAGCAGUGACAGUUUAUUUUAUACCCCUGUUAAAGUUGAAAACAAAGUGACUCUUGGUGCUAUGUUAGAUAGCGGUUCGAUGGCCUGCUCGUUGAGUGCUGUGGCGCGGAAAAAGCUGAUAAAUGCCGGUGUUCAGCUGAACAAUCAGGAGAUGACUGACGUUGUCUUUGUUGGAUGUGGUGGUGUGCGCGUGAAGCCUGAAUCAGUGGAAAACCUUGAGAUGGCAGUAUAUGGAUGCAGAGUGUCUGUGCCCACUUUCGUUCUACAGAAUCAACAAGAUGAUAUAAUCAUUGGUUCAAAUGUCAUUAGACAUGUAGUUCGUCAGUUCAAGUGUGACGCAAGCUACUGGAAAGCCGUGUCAACCUCUUCCUCAGGUGACCAAGAACGUGAACAGUUUCUCUCCCUUCUCGCUGGCUUAGAACGUUGGUCUGAUGAUGAUGUACCAGACAGGGUUGGAACAGUCAGGUGUAACAGAGCUGUCACCCUGCCGGCCGGCAGUGAGUUUCUAGUGUGGGGCAUGCUUCCUAAAAAUGUCAAAAUAUCCCCCGGCAGCACUGUUUUAACUGAGCCGACAUCAUCUCACUCCGCGCCCAGAGGCAUAAUGGUUGCCAGAGUCGUGACACCUCUCUGGGGCGACAGGUGGGUCCCUCUCAAGAUUCUGAAUAUCUCGGACAGCCCUGUCACGCUGCGGAGAAAUGACAAGCUUGCCGAUGUCUACACCUGUCUGGCGUUGGAGGACAUGGAAGCCCCGGAGCUCAGUGCCGCUCAACAGGCCACAUCUGCCAGGCCUGCAGGAACGUCUGCGCCGACAGCUAACAUCGAAACUGUGCGGGAGAGACUGGAGCAUGUUGGCUUGAGGGAUCUUGACCUUGAGUCUUGUGACGUGACGACAGUGUCAAACUAAGCUGGCAGACCUUGUGAUCAAAUAUGAGGACAUCUUCUCCCAACAUCACCUGGACUGUGGUGAGGCCAAAGAGUUUGUGCACAGGAUUCGGCUCACGGACGAGAGGCGAUUCCGUUUGCCUUACCGACGAAUCCCGCCUGCUGAAUACCAGAAGCUUAGCCAGGUCCUCAGUGAGAUGGAGGAGAAGGAGAUAAUCAGGAAGUCCACCAGUGAGUUCGCCUCGCCUCUCGUCCUUGUGUGGAAGAAAAAUGGUGACUUGAGAGUGUGCACAGACUUCAGAUGGCUCAACAAACGAACACUGAAAGAUGCCCAUCCACUUCCACACCAGGCUGACUGCCUGGCUGCCCUGGGUGGGAACACGUUCUUCAGUACAAUGGACCUCACGUCCGGCUUUUACAAUAUGCCGCUGCAUGAAGAAGACCGCAAGUACUCUGCAUUCACAACACCCAUGGGCUUGUAUGAGUACAACCGUCUCCCGCAGGGCCUGUGCAACAGCCCAGCCAGUUUCAUGAGGAUGAUGAUCAGCAUAUUCGGUGACCAGAACUUUCUAAGCUUGUUAAGCUAUCUGGACGAUUUGCUAGUAUUUGCACCAACUGAGGCGUUGGCUCUUGAGAGGCUGGAGCAGGUCUUUGGUCGGCUUCGCCUGCACAACCUGAAACUGGCCCCGAAGAAGUGCUGGCUGCUCAGAAGGUCUGUGAAGUUUCUGGGACACAUCAUUGAUGAGUCAGGUGUGUCCACAGACCCAGCUAAGGUUGAGGCCGUCAACAAGAUGGUGGCUACGGACCUGAUGGAACUUGAUGGAGUGACCCCGUCUCAGACUCGUGUGAGGUCUUUCUUGGGGUUGGUAAACUAUUACCACACCCUAAAAAAUCUAAAGUUGGGCCAACUUACAAUUUCAAGGCAACAAACUGCAAUAGAAUUUUAAGUUGGGAAUGACAACUUAACAUUUUAAGUUCUGCUU